rnacentral:rRNA from 1 species
GACGAACGCUGGCGGCGUGCCUAAUACAUGCAAGUCGAACGGUCUUUUCUAUGGAAGCUUGCUUCCACUGAGAAGAUAGUGGCGAACGGGUGAGUAACACGUGGGUAACCCGCCCAUAAGAGGGGGAUAACAUCCGGAAACGGGUGCUAAUACCGCAUAGGGUUCUUGACCGCAUGAUCGAGAAAGGAAAGACGGCCUUUGUGCUGUCGCUUAUGGAUGGACCCGCGGCGUAUUAGCUAGUUGGUGAGGUAACGGCUCACCAAGACGAUGAUACGUAGCCGACCUGAGAGGGUGAUCGGCCACAUUGGGACUGAGACACGGCCCAAACUCCUACGGGAGGCAGCAGUAGGGAAUCUUCCGCAAUGGACGAAAGUCUGACGGAGCAACGCCGCGUGAGUGAAGAAGGUUUUCGGAUCGUAAAACUCUGUUGUCAGAGAAGAACAAGUCGGAGAGUAACUGCUCCGGCCUUGACGGUAUCUGACCAGAAAGCCACGGCUAACUACGUGCCAGCCGCCGCAGUAAUAC